rnacentral:rRNA from 1 species
CCUACGGGGGGCUGCAGUGGGGAAUUUUGGACAAUGGGGGCAACCCUGAUCCAGCCAUGCCGCGUGCAGGAUGAAGGCCUUCGGGUUGUAAACUGCUUUUGUACGGAACGAAAAGCUCUCCUCUAAUAAAGGGGGGUCAUGACGGUACCGUAAGAAUAAGCACCGGCUAACUACGUGCCAGCAGCCGCGGUAAUACGUAGGGUGCAAGCGUUAAUCGGAAUUACUGGGCGUAAAGCGUGCGCAGGCGGUUUUGUAAGACAGAGGUGAAAUCCCCGGGCUCAACCUGGGAACUGCCUUUGUGACUGCAAGGCUGGAGUGCGGCAGAGGGGGAUGGAAUUCCGCGUGUAGCAGUGAAAUGCGUAGAUAUGCGGAGGAACACCGAUGGCGAAGGCAAUCCCCUGGGCCUGCACUGACGCUCAUGCACGAAAGCGUGGGGAGCAAACAGGAUUAGAUACCCCGGUAGUC